rnacentral:rRNA from 1 species
UACGAAGGGGGCUAGCGUUGCUCGGAAUCACUGGGCGUAAAGGGUGCGUAGGCGGGUCUUUAAGUCAGGGGUGAAAUCCUGGAGCUCAACUCCAGAACUGCCUUUGAUACUGGGAAGCUCGAGUCCGGAAGAGGUGAGUGGAACUCCGAGUGUAGAGGUGAAAUUCGUAGAUAUUCGGAAGAACACCAGUGGCGAAGGCGGCUCACUGGUCCGGUACUGACGCUGAGGUGCGAAAGCGUGGGGAGCAAACAGG